GGCCGGGUCCUGUGCAACGGCGACCCGUGAACCGAGUCAGGGCCGGGAGGCAGCAGCUCUCAGCGGACCUCGUUGUGUGCCGCAGAUCGCCUGGCCGCC
rnacentral:SRP_RNA from 1 species